UGUGUAGCUCAGUAGUAAAGGACUUGCUUAGCACACAAGAGGUCCUGGGUUCAAUUCCCAGUACA
rnacentral:tRNA from 1 species